GUCUGGAAUCAUGUUCUUGUCAAUGUCUGUACUUGCACAAUCCCAAACUUGCUUUUAUACAUCUUAAACUUACUAUGAACUUUACAGGGUUUUGUUUUUCUCUUUUGCAACCCUUGAAUGUGUUUGUUGAUUGACAUCUAUGCAUAUCGAUUUCAUCAUCCUCGAGUUGAUCGAUUGGUUUAGAUGACCAUCAACAAACGCUUUCGUGGUUUUGCAUCUCCUCUUGAAAUCUUGAUAAUGUUUUUAGCGUCUUUGUUACUGUUUUUUUUGUGUCUGUAGGAUUUUGUAUCGUCAAAGCAGCUCAAGAAUCGACCAGUCGUCAUAGCUUAGCCGAUGAAAAAGAAUCCUGGUCUUGUAUUUGCAGUCGUCACAUAUUUGGAGAGGAAACCCAAGUUCUAAAGCCAUAGGUUCUUUUAGAAACUGUAAAGUCUAGAAUUUUGAAAUUAAGCUUAUGUGUAUUGAUCGGUGUAGAAAAAGAUGAAUGAUGUGUAAAGAAAAUAGGCAAGUCUUGGUAUGUUAAAAUAAAGAUCAAUGCUCAGUACCUCUGAGAUAACACUACUCUACUCCGAAAAGUUGUGGUUGUGGAGAAAUGGGACCAAAAAAGUCAACGAACAAGUCUUAAGUUGUUCUGGUUUAGCUACUACUACUUCUUUGAUGAUGAUGUAUAUGGUUGUUGACUUC